rnacentral:misc_RNA from 1 species
ACUAUGCAUAUCCUACUGAUUAUACUGGCUGCCUCCCUUUCCUAAUUUGAUUUACGACUCGAUAGUUUUUCUACUCUUGGUCAUUCAGGUUUUUACUUACAAAAUGAAGUUCGAGGAUAAAUCAGUGGAAGGCUUUUUAUUUGAUUUCAAACAGAAAUGGUAGUGCAAACCAAAGAUUUAUGAACAGAAAUGAGGACAUGGCUAUCUACAAUAAUCAUUGACCGAUUGAAAGGUUGUCUGUUGAUAUCUGUGUUUGAAUGGUCUGAAGAGUCACAGAUCCAUCUCUAAUCCCUUCUCUCAUUAUCUUCCCCAUCAUUUUUGCUGCCAAUGGAACCCCAGCACACUUCUGUAUGACUUCCCUUUUCAGCUCCUCCUCAUUUCGUGGCUGGAAUGGUUUCCUUUCCUGUUCAACUUCGUCUCUAAAUAUGUCCCAACAGAGGUCUUUGUUUGAAAGAGGCAAAAGGCGAUAUAUGUUCUCAUCCCCAACCAUCAUCUUCAUAACUUCCUCAUUCCUGCUUGUGACGAUGACAGUUCCACCAUAGCCCUUUGGCAACCCAUAAGCAAGGUGUUGGUCCCACUUAACAUGGCGAGGUAGUGAAGCAUUCAAGUUGCUGUACCAGUACCAGUCUCCAGUAUCCUGCGCAUCAUCCAACACGAUCAGAUACCUCUUGCGCAUCAACUCCACAUGAAGAGCACAAAGUAACCCAGCAAGGCCAUGCUCGUCUAAAAUGGUUUUCACCAUCUCCCCUUCGACUCCAAGAGAAUUUAACAUUCUUUUCACAAUUGCUCUCUUCGGAUCAUUAUCUUCUUCGUUGUCCUUCGUUGACAUGUGAACCCAAAUCCUGGGAACAAAGUGGUUCUUCACUUCUGGUUUGGUCAGAAUAAGUUGGCAUAGUGUGGUUUUCCCAGCACCUCUCAUUCCUACAAUUCCAACUGUCUUGAAAUAAUCAAUACUCCCUCGUCGAACCAGCAAUUUCUCCAGAUGCGUUAUUUCAUCAUCGAACCCAUAAACCUUUGGUGGAGCCUCAGAGCGAGAACUCAAGCGAUGAAAUUCUCUAGCAUCAGAUAAGCUCGCUUGGAGUUGGCCAUUAUUCUGGGGUAGAUCAAGGUUUCCAUUUGGAUUGUUGUCGUCGGAGGGUUUAAUAUUUUCUAUCUCUGCCUUGAUCUUUGACAAAUUCUGCUUAAUUUUAAAGACAGUGGGUGAAAGUAGAGUAUUCUUGCCUGAAAGUGCCUGGCAUUCACUGAAAACGUCGUUGAGGGAGUAGAGAUAUGCUCUGAGUACGGGGACAUCUGAAGAAGAGCAAGAAACAAGCUUUUCCUUAAGCAACCCCUUGAGAUCUUUGAAUUCUUUAGCUAAGGGAACUUUAGGAGAUUCAAGGCCUUCUCCGAGUUUCUUCAGUAGAUACUUUUCAAUCUCCUGAGACAUAGCAGCUGUUAGACUCUUCAGCGAUUUGGAAGUCACCGGAAAAUCUUCCAGGUCUAUUAAUGGUUUUUAGCCCGGUGCAGAAAAAGAAAUCGCCCUGUGAUAUGGUAGAGAGAAAUUAUUUGCGGAGACUUUUGAGAGCUGGGUCUUCGAUCUUCGAGAUGAUUCUUUUACUUUUGAUUUGUUAUAAGUUUUAACAGCAAAUUAUUAAUAUUAUUAGUUG